UGGCUCUCGCAUCGAUGAAGAACGCAGCGAAAUGCGAUAAGUAAUGUGAAUUGCAGAAUUCAGUGAAUCAUCGAAUCUUUGAACGCACCUUGCGCCUUUUGGUAUUCCGAAAGGCAUGCCUGUUUGAGUGUCAUGAAAUCUCAAUCCCUCUGGUUUUCUGAACUGGUUAGAUUGGACUUGGGUGAUUUGCCAGCAAUGGCUCGCCUCAAAUGACUUAGUGGAACAUCCCACAUCAGUGUUAGACGUAAUAAGUUUCGUCUCUCCUUGUGGUGAUGACUGCUUAGAACCUGCCAUCGCGCAACCUUUUGACAUUGACCUCAAAUCAGGUAGGGCUACCCGCUGA
rnacentral:misc_RNA from 1 species